rnacentral:lncRNA from 1 species
CUCGGAUUUCUAGCUAACAUUUUUCCUUUCCCACUUUUGCUUGCCUCAUUACAUUGCAAGUGCUUAAAAGCAGGCUCGCUCUCUGAAUUUAUGUAGAUGCAGUAUCUAGGAGACUGAUGUGGCUCUACAAUGUGUGGCAUAAUCAAUAAAAUUAAAGCAUAGAAGUAGCACUUCUUGAUCACUUAAGACAGGGGUUUGUUAUCAUAAGGAGGAAUAUGCUUGAAAAGAUUUCAGUGAAGACACUUGUACAAGCUCUGAUAUGUACUUGGGCUUUUGAAGUAGUGGGAAAAAGAUUUCAAGAUAACUUUUUAUGAUUUCAGAAAAAGAUACCUAGUUUUUUUGUUAUAUUCAUUGCAUGCUCAACAUGGAAAGCAGUUUCAUUAAUUCCUUUUGUUUUUUUACUUCAAGAGUGGCUACAUGCAAACUAUUUUUAAUCUUUCUUUUUCUUUUGAGUGUGUCCAUGAAGAUAACAAAGAGGAAGUUGUCACAUUAUCCACAACAUCUAGGGACGUGUGUAACUUUCUGUUGUCUUCCAGUUCUUCAAAUGUUACCUUCCAUGACGAGAUCAUUCCAACCAAUACUUUUCAAGAUCUAGUACUUAGAAGUCACAUCGCUGGACUAAUAUGGUAUCUAAGUGGAUAGGUAAGUGCUGCAGCUUUGCUGCUUUUCUUGGUAACAUACUGUGAAUUAUUUAUGCCAACUCUUUGUUGUCCCGGAGGCUUUGAUGAAGGGAGAAAAAUGCCUGAGUAUGCAGCUUCACUUAUAGACCACAGUAAAAUGGUUUCUAAAACAGAUGUGUCAGCAGGUAGUAGAGUUGGUUACAAGCUGUUGUAAGGAUAGGCUGACCACCUACAUGGAUGUCAUGUAUUAGCUGAAAUUGCAGCAAGAGAAAAUUUGCUGGAUCCUAUCAUAGAGGAUCUGUUAUUACCUGGGUAUAAUAAGUAUAUUUUUCUCUCUCUUAGAUCUCUGUGAAUCUGGUGUUAUAUUGGCAGUAUAGCUUGGGAA